AUGCAAAAUAAAAACUGCAAGGUCAUGGUUGACAACUGCUACGGUGAAUUUGUUGAGACAUCAGAGCCUCCAAUGGUGGGAUCAGAUCUUAUUGCCGGUAGCUUGAUAAAGAACCCCGGUGGUACCAUCAUGCCUUGUGGUGGCCACGUUGCUGGGAAGAAAGAUUUGGUUGCCGCAGCUGCAGCUCGCCUAUCCGCACCGGGCCUUGGGGUGGAGUUUGGGUCCGUACCUAGACAUGUUAUGCGAGCAAUGUUUCAGGGCUUGUUUCUUGCUCCCCAAAUGGUUGGAGAGGUAGUAAAAACCACAGGGUGGUUUGCUAAUUGCAGAAGUCAUGUCAGCCAAGGGCUAUAGAGUUCAACCACUUCCAAGGGAGCCACGCCAUGAUAUUGUGCAGGCAGUAGAGCUUGGCAACAGGGAGAGACUCAUAGCAUUCUGUGAAGCCGUUCAACAAACUUGCCCAGUAGGAUCAUUUAUUAAGCCAACCGCUGGGGAAACUCCUGGUUAUGCUUCAGAGGUAUGUUUGUAUAACCCCCUUCUAUAAUCAUGUGCUUAUUGUUUUAGCUAUUUUCUAGUAAUAUAUUUCAUGGCAGUUUAUUCCAUGUAUUUACUAUUUUGCUCUAAAUGAUGAUAUGUUAUUGCUAUCUGCAUAGUUCCUUUUUUCUUUGAUACAACAGUGAUUAGUUCACUUGAAUCACAUGUCAAUUUUGCUGAUGGGACACUCAUGGAUGGAAGCACAAGUGAGCUAUCAUGUGACAGGCCCUUAAGAGAUCCAUACGCUGUCUUCUGUUAGAGAGGAGCGCAUUGGACACAGUGGGCUCUUGUCCUGGGCGAAGUUCUGAAUGUCAUGUAGCUGUUUGUUAGCAGAAGAAAAAUAAAUAUUCAAGUCAUUUCUGAUCGAAGGUCUGGGUAUCAAGUAUUUGUGUUUGUGUCUACAAGCCUUUGACUUUUUUGUCCAGUCUAUUGUUUAUUUGCAAUGUUGGAUACUCAUGCCAUUUCUUGUGAAUAUUUUUUUUGUUUGUAGUAGUGUUAAUAUACUGUAUGUUAACUCUAUAUUGAAGAAUUUGUGAACAAUCAGUACUGCACCAGUGGUAAUUUAUAGAGGAAGGCAAGGAUAACUAUAUUAAACAUUCCACAAGAUCCUCCCAAUUAUAUCACAAACUUCGUUUCAAGAUAUUAGAGUGUGGUUGACUACCGGAUAUUAUCAGAUGGAAAGAAGGUAUAUCCUUUGUCUUUAUCUAGAUGUUUAAUUAGAUGCACAAGCGUACAUGAUUCUGUGAGAAAACUAUUUAUCUUUAUCUAGCCUGACCAUUGCCGAACAAUGCAACAAAGCAUUGCUAAACUUGAUAAAAGCAAACAUGGAAGCCCUCCCUAAUUCAUCAAUUUACAGAGAUCACAGGUGAUUCUCUUGCAGACUAGUUAAUUAGAUUAUGAGUUUUUUAUGUUAUUGCUGAUCUCACAUGCUUAGUUUCUAAGUUUAUCUCAAAACUACAUGCUUCCUCCUUGCUUAUUGGAGAAGAUGUUUGUAUGCUUUCUCUCGUAUGCAUGCUUGUGUAGUGUCAUCAUUUUUAGUGCACUGCACUACCUAUUUGGGUUAGUCUUUGGGUGUUCUGUGUGCACAUGUGGUACUUGCUGCUUCCUGGCUAGGGGGUCUAACAGUGAUUGUGUAGACUGCCAAAAAAUGGUUGCUGCUUACAGAUUGUAGGCAGUGGCGGAGCUUGAAAGAAAAUGCUGCACGGGUCAGACUAAAUAAUAACAUCGUUAUUUUUUAAAUUCCGAAUGUGAAACCUAUGUUGAAAUUUGUGAAAUGUAGAGAACAAUUGGGAAGUCAAUUGAAUGAAAAAAUCACGCUAUCUAAUGAAGCAAUUGUAAGCAAAUAUAUUCUUCUCUGAGUGUGAGUGGCCUUGCUCGUGGCUACAACGUUGCAAUUUGUACAAGAUGUAAGGAACAACUGAGUGGAAACACAAUCUGGCUAUUAAUUAUCAAAUGGCAAACUACGGAAUUUAGGGGGGAAAAUGAGCUUAGUUGUGUGUUCCCAGCCUGAUGCUUGCACAGGAGAGCAGAUGUAAGAGGGAGCGCAGGGGCAGUGGACUGACACGGUGGCACCACAGUGUGGCUGGGAGGAUGUCGCGAUUUCUAGCUAAGACGGCAGCGACGCCAACGCUACCUCCUUGCCAGCCCCUGGGUUGUGCGAUGCGAGACAGCGAGAGGACACGCUGCUACACAGCUACAACUUUGGAUAACUGGAUCAAUCUAUGCCCUGGUUAGUGGAAUGCAAGCUGACUCGGCUCCAUAGGUAAAAGGAAAAUUCCAAAAAUCCUGGGCGAGCCACGGCCCAGGUCGGCCCCCAAAAAGCUCCGCCCCUGAUUGUAGGCAUGGUCACUGUAGCCAUAGAAACGAUAUUCCUUUUGGGUUGGUCGAGCAUAAACAUGUUCAUACAGAUUUUGAAUCUGGAUUUAUUGAACUCUCUACAUGGUUGCUGCAUUUGAAUUUGAGAUAAACGCACCAUUCGUCACUGAACUCUCGCGAGAUGAGCACAUUGGUCACACACGUCUCAAAACGUGGAAAACGGGUCAGUUUGGUUUGCUAUAUGAGAAAAUGGGUCACUCUCUUCUUUUGAGUCGUUGGCGCUGCCCACGUGGCGUUGUGAGUCAGCGGUGGCUCGGUGUACACUUGCAAGAAUACCCCUAGAAAGAAAAACAUAUUCAGUACCGACCCCCGACAGACUGCACUCCACCCCCAAACCCCGACCAGGCGACCUUGAUGGCGGCUGGGUGCCCGUCAGCGGCAAGGUCAAGUCCAUUGGCUGUCUCCGUAGGUUGCGGUGGCGGAGAGGAUGGCGAGGUAGCCGCCUCCCUACAGUAGCCGCGCCGGCUGACGACGGCGACGAAUCUGCAGACACUGAUGGCGGCGGUGCUUGUGGUGAAGCCGUUGUCGGUGUGGUUGAUGCCGGCGGUCGCGCAGGUGCUGAACUUCUUCCUCGGCAGCGAUUUCCCUGGGAUGAUGCACCCGAGUAUGGUAAGAUCUUCUCACUGAUUCUCUUCCCCUUCCUUUGUGCCUCUCGACAGUGUUUGCUAGGGUUUCAAAAUUGGGCAUUUUUUGUUAGAGAAGUGGAUGAAUUUGGGUUCAAAUAAGUGUUUCGAAUUAGUUGCCAGUGUUUGCUAGGGUUUCAAAAUUGGGGAUUUUUGUCAGUAAAUAGAUUAAUUUGUAGUUUUUCUUGCAAUGCAGGGGAUUGCAGUGAUUUAUUUAGCUUAGUAAUACAUCACAUUGGAUGGUUCUGUGGUGUUGGAUCGAACCGUGUUUACAUGCAGGAAUGAGUAGAUGUUUUUGAUGGCUGUGACAAGGGUACAUUAUGUUGUGCUUUGGUGGAUUGGAUGAUCAAGCAACUAGGAUAUGCUUUGCCAUCCAUGGGAUUUCAAGUGUACUGGUUGGAUCCUAGCAAAACAAUAGUAGAUGGUUUGAAGCAGAUGAACUUUCAAAUGCAUGCAUUAUCUGUGACAGAUUCAGCUUGUGCAAGAGGUGGCCACAAAGUGCAUGUUUAUGUUGAUCAUGAUAAUGUUCUGGAGAAACAACUUUGGGAUGAUGUUCUUGUGCAACCAGUUGAGCUACCUACAUUGAUAAGUCCUUGCAAGAAAGAAUUUCAGUCAGAGGACAUACCAGCUAGCAAUUGUAUGCCUACAUUCAGUGAGAAAAUAUUCAACAUGAUGUCAGGUGGAUAUGAAGAUUUGUGCAACAACAACAGAUCCAUACCUGCUAGGAGGAACUUGAGUACUGAUUUUGUGAAAGAAGAAUUUUACAUGGAAAAGAAAGGGAAGGACAAUAUGUUCCUUGAGGUUUUACAGCAAGAAGAAGAAUUUGCUGCUGUUAGAGAAGAAGAAUUAGCUGGUGUGCAAGAAGAAGAAUUUGAUGCUAAUGCAAGAAGAAGAUUUUGCUGCUAUGCAAGAAGAAGAUUUUGCUGAUAUGGAAGAAGAAGAUUAUGCUCACUACAAAAAAAUACACUUCGGUGAUGAUACGUGUUUGUCACAGUAGGUCACGUUUUUUGUCAUGCAUGUACAUCCAUGACAAUUUUAUGACAGAAUCAA